rnacentral:rRNA from 1 species
CAAGGAAUAUUGGUCAAUGGACGCAAGUCUGAACCAGCUAUGCCGCGUGAAGGAUUAAGGUCCUCUGGAUUGUAAACUUCUUUUAUCUGGGACGAAAAAAGGUCUUUCUAGAUCACUUGACGGUACCAGAUGAAUAAGCACCGGCUAACUCCGUGCCAGCAGCCGCGGUAAUACGGAGGGUGCAAGCGUUAUCCGGAUUCACUGGGUUUAAAGGGUGCGUAGGCGGGCAGGUAAGUCAGUGGUGAAAUCCUGGAGCUCAACUCCAGAACUGCCAUUGAUACUAUCUGUCUUGAAUAUUGUGGAGGUAAGCGGAAUAUGUCAUGUAGCGGUGAAAUGCUUAGAUAUGACAUAGAACACCCAUUGCGAAGGCAGCUUACUACGCAUAUAUUGACGCUGAGGCACGAAAGCGUGGGGAUCAAACAGGAUUAGAUACCCUGGUAGUCCACGCCCUAAACGAUGGAUACUCGACAUACGCGAUACACUGUGUGUGUCUGAGCGAAAGCAUUAAGUAUCCCACCUGGGAAGUACGUUCGCAAGAAUG